rnacentral:rRNA from 1 species
GAUGAACGCUGGCGGCGUGCCUAAUACAUGCAAGUCGAGCGAAUGGAUUAAGAGCUUGCUCUUAUGAAGUUAGCGGCGGACGGGUGAGUAACACGUGGGUAACCUGCCCAUAGACUGGGAUAACUCCGGGAAACCGGGGCUAAUACCGGAUAACAUUUUGAACCGCAUGGUUCGAAAUUGAAAGGCGGCUUCGGCUGUCACUUAUGGAUGGACCCGCGUCGCAUUAGCUAGUUGGUGAGGUAACGGCUCACCAAGGCAACGAUGCGUAGCCGACCGGGGAGGGUGCUCGGCCACACUGGGACUGAGACACGGCCCAGAAGCCUACGGGAGGCAGCAGUAGGGAAUCUUCCGCAAUGGACGAAAGUCUGACGGAGCAACGCCGCGUGAGUGAUGAAGGCUUUCGGGUCGUAAAGCUCUGCUGUUAGGGAAGAACAAGUGCUAGUUGAAUAAGCUGGCACCUUGACGGUACCUAACCAGAAAGCCACGGCUAACUACGUGCCAGCCGCCGCCGUAA